CCACUCCCUCUCCUAUCUUAUGGGCCCAGGCUACACCACUCCCUCUCACAUCUUAUGGGCCCAGGCUAUACCACUCCCUCUCACAUCUUAUGGGCCCAGGCUACACCACUCCCUCUCAUAUCUUAUGGGCCCAGGCUACACCACCCCCUCUCACAUCUUAUGGGCCCAGGCUACACCACUCCCUCUCAUAUCUUAUGGGCCCAGGCUACACCACUCCCCCUCCCAUUUUAUGGGCCCAGGCCACACUACUACCCCCCUUGUCUUAUGGGCCCAGGCUACACUAGUACCUUCUCUGUCUUAUGUGGCUAGGCUACACCACUCCAUCCCCUGUCUUAUGGGCCCAGGCUACACCACUCCCUCUCAUAUCUUAUGGGCCCAGGCUACACCACUCCCUCCCCUGUCUUAUGAGCCCAGGCUACACCACUCCCUCUCCUAUCGUAUGGGACCAGGCUACACCACUCUCUCCCCUGUCUUAUGGGCCCAGGCUACACAACUCCCUCCCCUGUCUUAUGGGCCCAGGCUACACCACUCCCUCUCAUAUCUUAUGGGCCCAGGCUACACCACUCCCUCCCUUGUCUUAUGAGCUCAGGCUACACCACUCCCUCUCCUAUCGUAUGGGACCAGGCUACACCACUCUCUCCC
ensembl:lncRNA